CCCGAUCCCAGAAGGGGUCCUCGGUCGGCUCGACUAGAAGACGAAGGGGGCGUCUCCCCUGCUUCCUGCGGCGUCGGAGGCGAGUUGAGGUGGUGGCAGGCUGCGGCUACGAAGGCGUCAGCGGUGGCGGUGGCGCCAUGGCAGGGCUCGCAGGAUCCCUGCUGCCUUGGUGAUCCCGGGCUGACAGCCAGAGACCACAGCGGCUCAGCUCCUGGAGAGCGAGGGUUGAAGAAAGCAGAGGGCAGCCGCCCGCGCCCGCUGGCUCCCAUUAGCCCCGAAAUGACAAGAUCCUAAAAGGGAGAGGAACACCUAGACGGUGCUCUUUCCUGAGAGGCCAGAACCCUGGCUUUGCAUCCCUGCUUGGCCACCAGCUCGCCUAGGACCGUCCAUGGAUUUUUCCCUCUUGGAAAGAAAUCACUGCCCAUUCGGCCUCCUCCUCAUGAGGAACUGGUGCGGGGAUGUUUGAGAGUGCCCUGUCAGAUACGGGCUCUAGCAUCACCCUCAGAUGCCCUGGUACCCAGAACAGUAAUUGGACAAGGGGCAUGGUGACCCCAGGAUCUGGGUCAGUCCACAUCUUGGAGCAUGGCGGAACCGAUGGCUGCAGCCCCCUGGAAGCUGAACGUGGCAGGAACUGGCUGAGAGAUUUUUUUGCUGAUGGUGAAAUGUCCUGGCAGAGUCUAUGCAGCAACAGAGCAUCACCCUACAUCACAGAGGAGGGAACAGAAACUGGAGAAGCAAGUGCCUUUCUGACAUAGAGCACAAGUAGCAGGAGCUGGAUUCAACCUCAGUCCAUCCAGGAUCACAGUCCUUCUUCCCAGGACCAGGUUGAGCUGAGAGGAAGAAGAAGAGGGGUCUGUGAGGUCCAGGUGGAGACGCUCCGCAGGCACGUGCGGAAGGUUGGAGACGUGAUGUGUACAAGCUGGAGGUGUUGCUCUCAGCUUAGUGCGCCCUGUGGGACUCCUGGUGUAGCCGACGUGCUCUGCCGCAGUGUUCCUUGCAGCUGGCGACUGGCGGCCUUAGGAUUACACCAUGUUUGAUUUUCUUGUUUCCUAUUGAUUGACUAUUAAAAUGUUUCCAGUGUCGUUCCAUUAAGACAAACCUGUAAGAGCAUCUUAUAUUUGUUCAUUUUGCACAUGUACAAGUAUUUCUCUGGGAUAGAUACUUAGAAAUGGAACUGAUGGGUCAUAAGGUAUUCAUAUCUUAAAUUCUAAUAGAAAUUUCUGAAGUGUUCUCCAAAUUGCCUUCUAAUGUAAUCUCCUGCUAGCAGCGUGUGUGUGUCCAUUUCCCCAGACCACGUCCAAGUUUUCCAUUUUUAACCAGUCUGAUGAGUGAGAAAUAGCAUCUUGCUUUAGUUGGCAUUUUUCUGAAUUACCUGCAAGACUGAAGUCUUCAUGUGUUUACUGUGCAUUUUCAUUUCCUCCUCUGGAUUGCUUGUGCAUAUCCUUUGCCUGUUUCUUUUUUUUUUUUAAGGUUUUUUUUGUCUUUUUGCUAUUGAUUUUUAAGAGUUUUUUAUUUGAAUAUUAAUACUUUGUCAUGUAUAUUGCAGAUGUUUUCUACAUUGUGAUUUGUGUCAUUUAAUUGUGUAGUAUCUUUUUGUCUUAGAGAAAUUUUAACUUUGAUACGAUCAAAUUUGUCAAUCUUACUUUUAGGCCAUUUUUACAGUCUUAUUUAAGAAAGUAUUCCCUGUAUCAAGGUCAUAAGUAUUUACUGUAUUUCCUUCUCUAAAAUUUAUAGUUUCUGUAUACAUACAUAUUUAAGCCUUUAUACUAUAUACAAAAAAUAAAUUCCAUAUGUACAAAUCUUAGGAUCUAACUUUAAUUCCUCCCCAUUCCCCCCAAAUGGAUAGGUAAUUGUCCCAACACCAUUUAUGGAAUAAUAUAUCAUUUCUCCGCUGAUUUAGAACUGCCUCCUCUGCCUGACACUGAAUUCCAAUGCGGGUCUGUGUCAGAGCUCUUUCUGGUCCACUGAUCUAUUUGUCUACUCCUGAGCUUGCUAAUAUGCUUUGCUAACUGGCAGGACAAAUCCCACCCUCUCUGUUGUUUUUGUAAAAUUGCCUUGAUCAUCCUUGCAUAUUUGUCCCACCACAUGAAUUUUAAAAUAGCCUGUCGAGUCUCAGGAAAAAUUCUGCUGGGAUUUUAAUUGGGAUCACAUUGAGUUUUAGGUAAGUUUGAAGAAAAUUGGCACCUUUAUCAUAUUUGAGUCUUCUGCCAGUGCUCGUUGCUAUUAUCUCUCAGUUCCGGUCACUCUCAUGUCUUUCAGGGAAGUUUUAUGGUUUUCUCUAAAGUCUUGCAUAUUUCUUGAUAAAUUUAUUCCUAGGUUUAUUACAGGUUUUGUUGUCAACUGUGAAUAGGGUCUCCUCUCCCUUUAUUUGUUUGGCCCUUGUUUUUCCAUAUUUCAUUUCAACCUGUUUACCGAUCAGUGGGCUUGACUUGCAGACACACAUGCAAAGUGAACAUUCUUCCUCCGGGGGCACAAAUAUGCAAGCACCACCAAACACAGAGAGCCGGCGUAAUUGGCUGGAAACAAAUUAGAGUAUUUUCAGAUUAUACUUUAAUUAACGAAGUAAAGCAUGAAUACAUUUUCCUUUUGAAAGUCGGACAAUAUGAAUGUAACUAAAGUUUCCUUUGGCCACCCUCUGAAAUCCUAGUUUCCCUCCCUCACCCGCAGUUUUAUGUGUCUCCUUCCAUAGAAAUGUAAGUAUCAAUGGAGGUAUUUUGAAUGAAUCAUCCCACUCUAUAGAGAUUUUACUGUAAGCUGUGUUUUUUCACUCCAUCUUAUAUUUCUAAGAUAUACUGAUACAAAUAGCUCUUGCCAGUUCCUUUUAGUAGCUGUGUUAUAUUCAUUCCCAUGAAUGUGCUACAUUUUUCCUUCCUAAGAUCCAUGGACAUUUAGUUGCAUCCUUUUCUUUCCUCCAUCAUAAGCAGUGCCACAGAAAAUAGCCUUACAUGUGCCUCUUCUGUAAUGUUUCUCUAGGAUGGUGAUUGAGAAGUGGAAUUUGUGUUCUCAGGGUUUCCACAUUUUUAGUUUUAGAUGUUACCAAAGUGUCCUCCAUAAUUUCUGUACCGUUUAAACUUCUAGCCAGAGGAUAUGGGAGGACUCCUCACACCAUAAGUGAUUGUUUUAAAUGUUUGCCAAUUUGCUGGGUGAAAAAUUGAAUAAUUUUUUAAAGUUUAUACAUACCUGUUUGCUAGUGAGAUUUUCAUAUGUGUUUUAGGCAUUUGUAUUUUCUCUUUUCUGAAUGAUCUGUUUAUUUUUGCUCAUUUAAAAAAUUAGGUUGUUUGUCUUUAUCUUAUUGAUUUUUGAGUUUCCUAGUGUAAUCUGGAUAUUAAUCUUUUGUGUGUGUGUGUGUGUGUGUGUGUGUGUAUAUGUAUAUAUAUAUAUGGCACAUGUUUUCUUCCAGCUUGUCUGUUGCCUUCAAAUUUUGUAGGGGCUUUUGUUAGACAGAAGUUAUCAAUUUUGACAUAAUCAAAUUUAUCCAUCUUUUCCUUUAUUCCUUGUAUUUAUAUAUCAUGUUUAGGCCUUUCUUACUCCUAAGGUUUAAGUAUACUCUGUAUUCUUUUCUAGUAAUUUUGUUUUUAUUUGGGUCUUUUUUUUUGUCGGGGGGUAUGCGGGCCCCUCACUGUUGUGGCCUCUCCCGUUGCGGAGCACAGCCUCCGGACACGCAGGCUCAGCGGCCAUGGCUCACGGGCCCAGGCGCUCCGUGGCAUGUGGGAUCUUCCUGGGCCGGGGCAUGAACCCGUGUCCCCUGCAUCGGCAGGCGGACUCUCAACCACUGCGCCACCAGGGAAGCCCUAUUUGGGUCUUUAAUGCAGCUGGAAUGUAUGUUUAUGAUUGAAAUGAGAUAUGAUCUAAUCUUUCUGCAAACAUACAGCUGAUUAUUGCAACAUGACGGACUGUCUAGUUCCUUCUCUCUCCACUGAUCUGAAGUGAAACUCCCUCAUAUACUGAAUUGCCAUGUCUAGGUAGGUCUGAGGCGCUGGUUCUUUUCCACCAGUCUGUAUAUUUCUGUCUGCAUCAGACUGUUUUAUCCACUCUAGCUUGAGACCACCUUUUGAUAUCUGUUAAGUAAAAUGUUCCAUUUCAUUGUGCUUCCUGUUCAAUUAACUCAGCUAACUAUUACUGCACGUUAACUCCUCCACAUGAAUUUUAAAACCUGCUUGUCAGGUUCUGUGAAUUUAAAGAUUAAUUUGGGGAAAAUCAAUAUCAGUACAAUCCUGAGUCUUUCAAUCCAUGAACACAGUAUAGCCCUGCACUCAUUCUGAUCAUCUAAAGGGCAGCCUUUAGUCCUAUUUUAUGGUUUUCUCCAUAACGAACCUACCAAUUUCCCGAUGGGUUUAUUCCUAUAGUUUUUAUUGUUGUUGUGAAUGAGUUCUCUCUGCACCCCCUGUUUUGUUUUUCUUUUGCUUGCUACAUUUUUUUUUUAAUCCAUUAAUCACUGUACUUCAUUCAUAGACACACACAAAGUAAACGUUCUUCCUUCCUGGACACAGACGUGCAAGCACUGCCAAACACAGAGCUGCCAUAAUUGGCUGAAAAUGAAAGGGAACUUUUCAAAUGAAAGUUCAAUGACAUAAGCGCAACAUGAAUAUAUUCUCCUUUUUGAGAAAUAGAACAUUGCAGAUGAACCUAAAGUCCCUUUUGGGCACCACUGCCAUCCCAUUUCCUUCUUACCCAGAGGUUGCUACUGUAAUGGGCCCAAUGUACACUUUUCUAGACUUUCUAAAAAUUUGUAAAUACGUAGGUAGGUACCCACAGGAAGUUACAUGGUAUAGUUGUCUCAAGUAAUGAGAAUUUUAUCUUUUCCUUUUCACUUUUCAUUGAUACUCAAUUUUUGUAUUGACCUGGAUUUUAUUAUGGUUACAGAACAGAAUGUCAGUAUUAUCACCCAUCACGAUGUGAUGACCAGUGACCUUCUGUAGCCAAACCAUAGGCAGAUGUGAAAGUACAGAUGUAGAAGCUGGGAGAUAGCAGUGGAGGGAAGGGGUCAGAGGACUGACAGGGACGGUAAUGGGAGGCACAGGAGCGUCUGUGGACACACAGUGGAGUCAGGAGUGAAGGGGCAAGUAGGUUUCUUAAAAUUAAAAACCAACAGAGGUACUUGACAACUGUGGUGGGAGAAGCAGGGAUGGUGGGGAGUAGUUUCCAAGUGACCCAAAGCCUAAUCUGCCACAUGGGACAUCAGUGGGUCUUAUGAACUAUUUAGAAAUAGGGUAUCAUAGAUGCUGGUCAGAAAACUCUCAUGACCCGAUUUUGACUAGGAUCUUGUGAAUAUUGUCAGGCAGCUUCAAGGAAGCACUUUCCUCCCUGGUUAAAGGGAUGCAUCUGGAGAGCUUUAUUGGUCCUGCCCCUUCCUUUCUGCCUAGGUGCUGUUGGGUAAAAACGUGAUACUUGGAGCUCUGACAGCCAUCUUGUGACCAGGAGGGGAAGGCCAGGAGAUGCAACUCUGUGCUGACUCAGUUCGGACACCUGGCACCACUGACUUCUGGACUUUCUUUGAAAUAAAUAAAAUGGUGUUACUGUUUAAGCCACUCUCGGGUGUUUUGUUAGAUGCUGGUGAAAGCAUCCUUCCUAAUGCAAGGGAUCUAAUUGUUUCUUAGAGCUGAGAGGUGACCUAAAGGAACAGAUCACAUACUCUGGGGUGAGAGUUUGGGGAUGGGGAGAAGGCAGAGAAGGCUGCUCUUCUGUCCUCUUGGAAUUUUUUUUUUUUUUAACAAUGUGUAUGUAUU